AGGAUCUCCCGGCUCUGGGGGUGGCGGCCAGCGUCUCCAGCCACGAAGCUAUGCACGAGGCCGGAGUUAUCAUCCGACCACCAUCUUCCAUGCUCGGGCCUCGCCUCUCAUCAUCUCCACCUCGUUUUGCUCCUCCCACAUCUCCAAGCUCGCGUAGAUGUUCGCCAUGAGAGUGUAGUGCGAGGCGUUUCUCCUGUCCAGCAGCAUCAAUGCGUUGAAAGCUCGUCUCCCGAUCGCAGCGUUCUUCCACUUCCGGCUGGCCGCCAAGACUGUUCUCCAGGCCAGCACGUUGGCCUCGAAAGGCAUCGUCUCCGUCACUCUCACUGCCGCCUCGAGCUCGCCUCCACGACCAAGUAUGUCGAUCAGGCAAAUGUAGUGCUCCAUCGCUGGAGCAACGCCGAAUCUCGACUGCAUGGACGCUAAGUAGCUCUUCCCCCGAUCGGUGAGACCUGCGUGGCUGCAAGCCGUGAGGAUGGAGACGAAGGUGACGCCGUCGGGACGCAAGCCAUCGUCGUGGAUCAUCCUCCAGACGCUCUGGAACACGCUAUCAGUGUCACCUUGGCGGCUGUAUCCGGCGAUGAGAGCGCUCCAGGUGACGAGCGUCCUGGCGGGGAGUGCGUCGAAGAGCUGCUCGGCCUCGACGAUGCUGCCGCAUUUGCAGUAGAGAUCCACCAAGCAGUUUGCAAGGAGCUCCUGGCACUCGAGGCCACACUGAGAGGCGAGACCGUGGAGCUUCUUCCCGGACUUUAGCGAGCCGGAGCUUCCACAGGCCCUGAGCAGCGCGGAGAAGAACGGAGGAUCGAGCAGAAGGAGCGUUUGAUCCGAGGAGUGGAUCAUCCUGCCGAAGAAUAUCUCGAGUGCAACGUCCGCCUCGCCACUCUCAGCGUAGCCUUGCAUGAGAGCCGUCCACGAGACCACGUCUGGAGGCUGCUUCAUGCUCUCAAACGCUCGUCUGGCGUCCUCCAUGCUUCCACACUUGGAGUACAUGUCCACGAGCGAGCUGGCGACGAAGCUAUCGUUGCAAAACCCAGCCUUGAUCGCUCCAGCGUGAAUUCUCAUCCCCUUCUCCAGGUGGUCGAUCUUCACAAGCUUCCCACCGAUGUGAUCUGUGGCCUCGUCUUUCGUGGCAAGAAGGCUGCAAGCUUUGAGAGCCGCCAUGAAAACUCUCCCAUCUGGGGAGCAGUGGCUUUCCUCGUCGCCGUCUUGGAUCAUCCGGAAGAAGAGAUCCAUCGCUAGCUUUGCGUCGCCACACUCGACGUAGCCGAGCAGCAGGGAAGUCCACGAAACCACGUCUCGAGCGGCCAUCCUAUCGAAAACCAUCCGAGCGUCCAAGGAGCUGCCACACUUCGUAUAGAUGUCCACGAGAGCGUUGGUGAUGAAAGCGUUGGAGUAGCAGCAGCGAAGCGUGGACACUGCCCGAGAGUGGAUCUCCAUCGCCGUGCUAAGCGCCCGGACCUUGACGAGCUUGCCAUGGAUUCCUUCCGGAGCUUCCCUCGCUGCCAAGCUCGAGCAGGCCUUGAGAGCCGCCACGAAAGCUCUCGAGUCCGGCGAUGGUGUUGCGGAGCUCUCAUCCUCCUCACUUCCAUCGUCUUUUCUCAUCCGGUGGAAGAGCUCCAGCGCGAUCUCUCCCCGCCCAGCCUCGGCGUAGCCCAGCAUGAGAUUGACGAAGGAGGCGGCGUCGCGGCGGGGCAUGGCGUCGAAAACCCUGUGAGCGUCGACGAGGCUGCCGCAUUUGGCAUACAUGUAGAUGAGAGCUCCGCCCACGCGAGUGGUGGAGCUGAAGAGCGCGCUGGCGAUGGCGUCGCUGUGGAGCCUCUUGCCCCGCUCCAAAUCCCUCGACGCCGCGCAAGCCUUGAGCGCCGUGAGGAGCUCGCGAGCCGCGGGCCUGUAGCUGGCGAUGGCAUCGCUGUGGAAAUCUCUCGCGAGUGAGCGCUCGGCGCGAGGGAAUGCGGCAGAGAACUCAACUCCCAAUCGUUUGGCCCAAAAAUCAUAACCUAAGAGAAAGUCGAAUCUUUAAACGUCCAAGAGCAUAUUCGUAUAGACAUCGUAGAAUAUCCUUAUAUUCCACGAAUAACGAAUAUCCAUAUUUAGUGCCGGUCCGUCAAACUUUGACGAUGACUUGAAGUCCUUAUCGAACAAGGCUAGAAAAUGCGCUGCCAAUAGAGCCCUGGUACAUCUCUGGACCCGUUCAGAGGCUUUGGUCGAGGCUCCAAAGUCCUCAGAAUUCCCACUGGUACAUAAAAUUUCUUGCAAGGCUCUUUUGAUUGUUUGUUUUUUCCCAUGUUGCAAAUCUCCAGACUAGAGCAUUCUCAAAGCACCUGGCAGAGAAAGUUUGCAGGAUUUCUCUCAUCGGUCGAGGCUGGUGACGAGUAUCUGCUGGAAUCUAUACUUUUGACAAUGUAGAAAAACAGUGGUAAGUCAAGUCUUAUGUUUGCUAGGAAGAAAGCUUAAUUGGUGUUACUACAAGAUCCCUGGCUACUGCAAAGAAGAUUUCUAUGGAGAGGAAGGUUGUUGUUGGCUACAUUAGUGUCGAAGUACCUAGUUCAUGAUUUUAAAUGGAAGUAACAGUUCCUUUGACAAACUUGGGCCAAAGGAAGAAGAAAUUAAACACACUUAACAUUUUCCCAGUGUUUUUUACUACUCCUUAAGAUCUAAGUGUUUCAAGUUGUAGAAGGACAAAUCUUUCCAAGGAUCUCCUCCAAAUCAUUUUAACGAAUUGCUGGAAAGAGUAGUCAUUACAAAUUUGAGCUCACAAGCUCAAAAGUCAGCAAAAGUCCAUAUACGGUGGCGCUAGCGAGUGAAGAGAUCAAGAUCAUCAAGAGAGUGCUGCCACGAUCCAUGGCUGGAAUUGGAGAUGCAAAACACCGGUGGUAAAUUGGUUUAAAAGCUCUAGAAAAAGUUGACCUCGUGCAUGCGGAGUUAGACUUUUCAAGAUCGAACUCAACCAUGACUUUGAGACUUAAGAUAGAAUCUUGCAAGCACAGGUGUUCUUAUGUUUCCAUUCGAGGAAUCUUGGACAGGCUGCAUGUGACUCCUUGGCAUCUACACUCUUAAAGGAUGAGGUUGUGGUUCUUUUGCAGUUUCGAUCCAAUCUGAAGAGCAAUAUAACCUGAAUUUUAAACACCAUCCAAUGUAGAUAUACCCGUAUAUUUACUGCAUAAAAAAUCAAGCUAGAAUUUUUUUACUGAAGGUUGUAAAAGGCAGGAAGGCACUACAUAGAAACCAUGUGGGCAUAAUUACAUACCACAUUGUCUCUACCACUUCCACUCAUGAUUAACGCCUGAUCCAAGCUUGAAUCUAAGCCUAUAUCAUGUCUAGUUAGUCUAAAUGAAGAGUUGAUGAGAAAAAUAUACAAAAAAUUCAUCAAUUAAGUACCCAAAAUGUUAUUCUUGGUUUUGGCCUUACUUGCACACACUCUUCCUCAUUGCUAUGGCUUCAAUCUUGCCACUAACAUGUGGUUUUAGUGAUGAACUACUAGGCUCCCACUUCUGGUACUACUAGGCACUUGAUUCUCCAUAAACACUCUAACUUUAGGAUUGAAGUGGUUAAUAUUGAAAUAAGAUCGCUUUCAGAAUCUGAUUUCUAAUACUUAUGUGAAUAAUUCAUGCAAAAUCUGAUAUUUCUUCUGCCAACCCGCCCACCAUUAGUGUCACAAGGUAAUCUUAAUUAUCAUUUCCAUGAAACUUCAAAACUAUGAGCACAAAGUUAAUAUUUCUUUCAUUAAGAGUUUUAGUUAAAUGGCUUGAUCACGACUCUAAGUAUUAGAUAAAGUAUUGUAAUCAAGAGGCUCAUCCUCCCAUUUGUCACUAGCCUUCUAGCCAACAAGUGCUAUACUCCUUUCAACUUCAAUCAUCAUAAGAUUGCCAAGAUUGCCUAUAAUUAAAGAGUCAAUUGCUUUGAUACUAUGAAAAUAUUGGAGAGAUGCAUAUAAAGAGGAAAAACUAUGUAUCUCAAUUGUAUAUGGAUGGGUAUAUAAUGACCAUAUGGGCCUCUAAAAAUCAUUAUGGAAAUCUUUUAUGAAUGAGCAUUUGAUGCAAAAAAAAGUUUUAGUGCAAAAAAUCAUAACUUAAGAGAAAAGUAAAUCUUUAAUGUCCCAUUAACAUAUUUGUAUAGGCACAUAUUUAUUCUCCACAAAUAAAGAAUAUCUAAAUUUCAAGUGGGCUUUAUUCUUACUUUGCUAUCAGCUGCCACAACUCUUCUCUCCUCCCACUUGGCACAAUAAUGAGAAAAUUGUUAUAUCAUUCAUUAAAAUGAAAUUCAUAGCAAUAGUGUUAUAAAAUCAUAAUGUAAAGCUUGAUAAGUGGGAUAUAAACCAAAAUUGCAUGAUUCCAGUGUUUAGAGGCUACAUUUUUCAAGUUUUUAGUAUACAUUGUUUUAUUCUUGUAAUGGUUGAACUUGGAAUGCCUCUCAUAAGCCUAGUAAACACAUUUUUGCUAAUAAAGGAAAUAUACUUGCAAAAGUUAUUUUUAACAAAUAUGUAGAAGAAUUUGGCCUCUUAGACAUUGUGGAAUGUAAAUAAAAAAUUCUUCUAAUUUAUAGUUUUUAUUGGUUAUUAAGCCAAUGCUCUAACACCAUUUUCUUUGUAGAGAAAAUUGUGGAUAGAAUUUGCAAAAAGUUUAUGUUAGCUAAAUAUAAGAAAUAGUGGGAUAGAAGGAAUCUAGAAAAGUAGUUUAACAAGAAACCUUUCUAAGUUGCAAUGGCAAUUGUGAAGGAUUAUGAUUUAGAGCAAUUUUUGUGGAUGUAAUGCUAGUAAAACUUUUUAUAGCUUUAUUUUUUCUAAAUUUUCUUAUAGAAAAGCUUAUUGCAUAUUCAAAGCAUUUAUUUACAUAUUAAAAUCUUUUAUGCUUGACUAAAACUCUUUUAAUGAUUGUGGCUAGGAAGAAUCUAAGCAUUCUCCACAAAUAUAAGUGUUCCAUUUUGGAUUGUACUUUCGAAAUAAAAAUAAUUUUCUUAUUCUUGUAUGAUUUAAUGGCCCCCUUUGUCAUGAAAGACUCUUCUGUAAGGAACUAACUCCCCAAGGUGUCGUACGCUAAAGGAUCCUCGAAAGCAUGACUGAAAUGAUAAAGAGUUCAUCGGAUGGGACCAAGUCCGAGAUCGUGUCCAAGACUGACUCUGAGACCGAGUUUAAGAUAGAGUCCGAGAUUGAGUCCGAGGCCGACUCCGAGACCAAGUUCGAAACUGAGUUUGAGACCGAGUCCGAGAUCUGAGAAUGGGUCUGAGACCGAGUUUGAGUUCGAGUUUGAGGUCGAGUCUAAGAUUGGGUCCGAGGUCGGGUCCAAGACUAAGUCCGAAGUCAGGUCCGAGAUCGAGUCCAAGAUUGAGUUCGAGAUCGAGUCCAAGUACUAAUAUGUGUCAAGGGGUGAAAGCCCAAAGCGUGCGUCUCCCAAGGGCGGGGGGGGGGGGGGGGGGGGGUUUAAAUAAUUUUCCCAAGUCAUUUAGGCUUUUAGUUUGGUUCCGGGGGCCCAAAAAACCGGCUUGAACGAAAGUUUCCGGGUUGGCUCCCCACUUAAUNNNNNNNNNNNNNNNNNNNNNNNNNNNNNNNNNNNNNNNNNNNNNNNNNNNNNNNNNNNNNNNNNNNNNNNNNNNNNNNNNNNNNNNNNNNNNNNNNNNNNNNNNNNNNNNNNNNNNNNNNNNNNNNNNNNNNNNNNNNNNNNNNNNNNNNNNNNNNNNNNNNNNNNNNNNNNNNNNNNNNNNNNNNNNNNNNNNNNNNNNNNNNNNNNNNNNNNNNNNNNNNNNNNNNNNNNNNNNNNNNNNNNNNNNNNNNNNNNNNNNNNNNNNNNNNNNNNNNNNNNNNNNNNNNNNNNNNNNNNNNNNNNNNNNNNNNNNNNNNNNNNNNNNNNNNNNNNNNNNNNNNNNNNNNNNNNNNNNNNNNNNNNNNNNNNNNNNNNNNNNNNNNNNNNNNNNNNNNNNNNNNNNNNNNNNNNNNNNNNNNNNNNNNNNNNNNNNNNNNNNNNNNNNNNNNNNNNNNNNNNNNNNNNNNNNNNNNNNNNNNNNNNNNNNNNNNNNNNNNNNNNNNNNNNNNNNNNNNNNNNNNNNNNNNNNNNNNNNNNNNNNNNNNNNNNNNNNNNNNNNNNNNNNNNNNNNNNNNNNNNNNNNNNNNNNNNNNNNNNNNNNNNNNNNNNNNNNNNNNNNNNNNNNNNNNNAAAGAGGAGUCUGGUGGUGAGGUUUGGUCGUCCAAGGCUCGAUUGGAUGUUCUAGAAAAGCAGACUAUAACCAUUUAAGAAUAUGUUAAUGGAUUUAUGGCAAAGAGGAUACUUAUCACAGACAUAGGGGAUACAGAUGCGUUCCAUGCCUUCAUAUCAGGCUUGCAAACUUGGGCUCGCGGUGAGGUGAUGUGUUGGAUCCCGACCAACUACAAGGAAGCAUUGGAUGCGGCCAUCAAAGUGCAUUUCAACGAUAACCUGCAAAAGGGGAAUACGACGAGGUCGAGGUCUACGUUUAGCAAAGGGGCCAAACCAAGAGGAACAUAUAGCAAAGGGAAAUUCAAGAAGAGUUUCUCUAAGAAUGAGUCCUUAGGGUUCCGGAAAGGUAGAUCCAGUGGCUAGCAAUCAAGUAUGUGGGGGAGUUAAGCAAAAAGAGACAAACCCAGGGAAUGUCCCUACCCGAAAAAGGCCAGAGCCAAUAUGGCCAUUAAGUCGAGUGAAAUCCAAACUAAGGUAUGUGAUCCAAUCCUUAGCUCAAAGUUACUCAUUACAUGAGCAACUUUGGUAGAGAGUCGUUCACGACAUUUACUAACCCUUCGAGGGAAGUUCAAAGGUAGCUUUGUUAAGAUGCUUAUUGACAUAGGUGCUUUGGAUAAUUUUGUGGCUAUAGACAUAGUCUAGCAAGCCAAACUAACGAUGUAGCGGCUGGAACCAAGGACGAUAGAGUUUGUUCAAGGUAGCCAAAGCACCGAUGAGAUACUUCGACAAACAAAAGUUGAAGUAGGGACAUGGAAAGUAGACAUGGAUUUCACUGUGUUGGACAUAACGGGAUUUAACGUAAUCUUUGGAAUAGACUGGUUCAAUCAGUUCGUAAUAGCCCUGCAUGGACAAGGGAGGAACCUUGUGGUACUAGUGAAUGCCUGGGGAGAACGAUCUAGGGUGGAGGCCUAAGAUCUAAAGGUAGGGCAAUGUAAGGCCAAAGACUCUUACUUAAACUUAGUGUCCACGAGAGGAAAACUCACUAAAGGAACCAAGGCAACAUUUUUAUGCUUACUCUCGGUGAAGAGUGACAAAAAGACAGGAACGAAAGAAGUACCUUUAGUGAUCCAGCGGAUGUUAGCCCAAUUCUAGGAUACCAUGCCAGAGGAGCCACCGACAGAGUUGCCCCCCACCCGACCGAUAAAACACAAGAUUGAGCUGGUCGAGGGUGCUAAGGUGGUGGUUCGUCCCCCCUAUCAUUUGAGAGAAAAAUAACUCAAGGAGCUCAAGUGCCAACUAGAAGAGUUAGUUGACAAAGGGUAUGUUAGGUUGAGCGAGUCGUUGUAUGGGGUGCCAGUGUUAUUUGUGAAAAAGAAAGAUAAAUCUAUGCGCAUGUGCAUAGACUACCAGUUGCUUAACAAGUAUACAAAGAAGAACAAGUACCCUUUGCCAAGGAUUGAGGACCUGUUCAAUAGGUUGGGAAAGGCAAAAUAUUUCUCGAGGAUUGACCUAAGGUCAGGAUACUACCAGAUCAGGGUAGCAGAGGAAGAUAUCAAGAAGACAACCUGUCAAACAAAGUAUGGGAGCUUUGAGUUUCUAGUGAUGCCCUUUGGGUUGUGCAAUGCGUCAGUAACGUUUUCGGCACUGAUGAACCAUAUCUUUAUACCCUAUCUGGAUCAAUUCAUUGUCGUUUAUAUUGAUGACAUCCUGAUCUAUAACAAGAUGCUAGAGGAACAUGUCAAACACUUGACAAAGGUGUUUGAGAAACUAAGGGAACACAAACUAUAUGCUAAAGAGAGCAAAUGCGACUUUGCUCAACAAUAGGUAAAGUUUCUUGGGCAUGUGGUGGGCCAAGACGGGCUCAAAGUGGACCCUAAGAAGGUCCAAGCGAUCCAAGAAUGGGAGCGACCAUCGAAUGUACAUGAGUUGAGGGCAUUCAUGGGGCUAUGCAACUACUACCGAAAGUUUAUCAGACACUAUUCGAGAGUACCCUUACCCUUAACGAACCAAAUGGGUAAAGGGAAGAUGGUAUGAACAGCAGAAUGCGAGGCGGCAUUUGUCCACCUCAAAGGGAAGUUGAGGAAGACACUUAUGUUAGUGUUAUUUGACUUUGGUAAGGACUUUGAGGUAGAAAUGGAUGCUUCAGACUUUGCAUUGGGCUCAGUUUUGAAGCAAGACAACCAUCCAGUGGUGUUCUUUUUGAAGAAGUUGAACAAGGCUCAGCAAAAAUGGCCUGCCCACGAGAAGGAAUUAUUUGCGGUGGUCAAGGCACUCAAGGAGUGGCGACACUACCUUGGGAGGCACUUUAAAGUUUACACAGAUAAUGUGGCAACAAAACACUUCUUGUCACAACCUGAUCUAAGAGGGAAAUAAAGUCGGUGGGCCAAUGCUUUGGUUGAGUUUGAUUGUAAGAUUCUGUAUAAACCUAAGAAGAGCAAUAUCGUGGCAAAUGCUCUAAGUCAAAAAACAAGCUUGAAGUUAGCGAUAUCUAGCGUGAUAGCAACCUUUUGGUCUAGCACAAGAAGUGUUGUUGAAGAACCAAGAGGCGCGAGAAGCUCACCAGAGAGGUGAGUUGCCAACAUAAGAGAAAACAGGUUAUGUGGAACGCAAUGGACUUAUCUAUUAUAAAUAAACGAAAGUGUAUAUUCCUAAAGGGGAAUUAAGGAAGGUAGCCUUAGAAGAGUGUUAUGAUGGACCUCUUGCGGGAUACGGCAGAGUGCUCAAGAUGAUGGGCUUACUCAAGUGGAAGUAUCACUGGCCAGAUAUGGCUAAUGACGUCCAAGACUUUGUAAAGUCAUGUCCAACAUGUCAGCAAGUCAAAGCCAUGACUAAGGCUAGUGGGGGCUUGUUACAAAGCAUCCCAAUUCCAGAUCAGCCAUGGAAAUGUCUUACAAUGGACUUCAUCACGGGACUCCCCCCAAGCGAGGGUUCGAUGCGAUAUUCGUGGUGGUGGACCGAUUUUCAAAGAUGGCACAUUUCAUACCCACCACCACGGAAGUGGAUGCGGAAGGUGUAGCAAAGCUAUUCUUCGAACAAGUGGUUCGAGUGCGGGGAAGGCCAGAAGAGAUCAUCUCAGACCGAGAUAAGAUCCUCAAGGAUGAGUCUAUGGGAAGUCAUCAAUGGGUGAGCUAUUGAAGGUCCUGUGGAACUCGGCGUGGCCGAGUAUCAUGGAGAGUUACCUACAGUGGAGGCAUUCACGGCAGAAAGACUCAACAUUUGGAAUCUGGGCUCAACAAAAGCAAACCAAGUACGCGAACCAGAAGCGUCGGGAUGUAGAGUUCCAAGCUAGGGAGAAGGUGUGGCUGAACACCAAGAACCUCAGGCUACCAAGUGGGAUCAGUCAGAAGUUGACCCAAAGGUAAAAAUGCAUGUAUUCUUGUAAAUGAAUUGAUCUUGAGUUCCUUAAGCAAGUUCGCAGGGCCUUACAAGAUUGAGGUAUGAAUCGGUAAAGUGGCUUACUGUCUUCGACUUCCUCGAGAGAUGGGGAAGAUGCACCUAGUGUUCCACGUGAACUUACUUAAGCUGUACUUUGAGGAUCUGCUUCGCAAGGACUAAGUAAGACCUUUACAUGAGGUUAUCCAAGGGGAAGAGGAAUACGAAGUCGAGGCCAUCCUCAAUGCGCACAAGAGCAAGCGACAAGGACGUGAGGUGAGAGAGUUCCAUAUGAAGUGGAAAGGAUUUCCACACUGCGAAGCAACAUGGGAACCGGAGGAGAACCUAGUGAACGCAUAAGAUCUAAUGGAGGAAUUUCUGCAAGACAAAACUUUAUGUACUUAUACAAAGUUUAAUUAAAGUAUCAAUUUGUGAAGUUGAGCAAUGGCAUAUGUUGGGACUCGAAGGCAUGCCGAAGGUAAGCUAAUUAGCAUGGGUUAGCUAGGUCGACCAGGUGUAAGCACUAUGCCCGACUCCCCACGGGGAUGUCCAAUCCGUAGACGUAUUCUACGGAGGUUGGGUUCGAGUCCCAACCCCCUAGUAAAGCAAGGCUGGGUUCAAGUCCCGACCCCAUACUAGGGCAUGGUGAGGUGAGGGGUAUAGGGACAUCUAUAUUCCAUUGUCAUGGGCUCUUGGCCGGGGAGGCUAACAUAGGCACACUGCUAAGUGGGGGGAUGCCCCCAGAGACAUGGUCAACAAGUUGUAGGGUUUAAAAAGAGACGUUCGAUGUCGGCAUCGAACUUCUUCUAUGGGUGGUGGAGUUGUAAAGAACCAACUCCCUGAGGUGUUAUAGGCUAAAGGAUCCCCGAAAGCAUGACCAAAAUAAUAAAGAGUUCAUCAGAUGGGACUGAGUCCGAGAUCGAAUCCAAGACCGACUUUGAGACCGAGUUCGAAAUAGAGUCCGAGAUCAAGUCCGAAGUUCGAGACCGAGUUCGAAACCGAGUUCAAGACUGAGUCCGAGAUCCGAGAAUGGGUUCAAGACCGAGUCCGAGUUCGAGUCCGAGGUCGAGUCCGAGAUCGGGUCCGAGGUCGAGUCCGAGAUUUAUUUCGAGACCAAGUCCGAAGUCAGGUCCAAAAUCGAGUCUGAGACUGAGUCUGAGUACUAAUACAGGUCAAGGGGUGAAAGCCCAAAGUGUGCGUCUCCCCGGGGGGGCUGCAGGGGUUCCAAAAGUAUAGUAGGGAUAGUGAAGUAAUUUUUGUAGAUGUAGUGCUAGUAAAACUUUUUAUAGCUUUAUUUUUUAUAAAUUUUCUUAUAGAAAAGCUUAUUGCAUAUUCAAAUCAUUUAUUUAUAUAUUAAAAUCUUUUACGCUUGACUGAAACUCUUUUAAUGAUUGUGGGGGAUGAGAUCCAAAAACCUAAGCAUUCUCCACAAAUAUAAGUGCUCCAUUUUUUAUUGUACUUUCAAAAUAAAAAUAAUUUUCUUAUUCUUUUAUGAUUUAAUGGCCCACUUUGUCAUCAAAGACUCUCCCUAAGUUUAAACUUCCAAGUUAAUCCUUAACAUUUUACAUUGAUAAUUCGAUAUUAUAAAAUAAUAUUUUAUCUUUAUUAGCUUUCAAACCAAUAUUAUAAGAUGGGGACUUAACCGUCUCAACUAAGUCACUGUAAGUCAUGUCAUCAAAUAGACUUAUGUUUGUUAAAAAGAAUGCUCAGUUAAACAUUGAUUAUUGCAUAAAUCUUAAAAAGAGUAAUUAUGGGUUUUUUUUUUGUCUAGGCUAAUUUCUAAGAGGAUAAAAUUCUAUAUUAAUAAAUCACAAUCAUCAACAAAUGUGAAUUACUUAGGAAAGAAAAUAAACACUCUUGCCAUUUUCUUUCUAGAAUUAAGUGAAGGUCUAGAAUAAUUAUAUAUUGUUGUUUUAGGACUAGAAACUAUAACAACUUUUUGUAAAUAUUGUAGGAUGGUUUUUGUUGCUUCUCUUUUUUUUAGUGUCAUUAUUUUAUGAGGAUGUGGUUCUUUUAAUCCAAUUUGAAAAACAAUAUGACAUGGAAAACUUAUCCCAGUUUUACAUGCUUAUAUUACAGUUAUAUAUUUUCUUUUAUAUGGAAAAUUGGAGUGUAAAAUAUACCCUUUAUGGCCACUGUCAAGAUCACCAUACCUAUGAUUGCAUCUGCAGCCAUGAUUUAUAUUACCAUGCCUCCCAUAAUGAUUGCAACCAUCACAAAUUGGAACUAUAUACUAACUCGAGUGGGAUUUACUUCUUUAUCAUUUUAAAAAUUGUAACUUACGGCUAUAAGCAAAUGCAUAAUUUUCAUUGUGGAAAUGAUUUUGGCAAGAUUAUAACUCAAGGUAAAUGUAAAUAUGGCAAAGGUUAGUGUAAUAAAAUUAUAACUCAAGGUUAUGGGGUAGGGCAUUAAAUUAGCCAUCAUCCUAAAUUCAUAAUGUUCAAAAAUGGAUCUUCUCAAGUUUGUGAGAACCUAGUCAUUGAUUAUAUAUAGGAAAAAAAUAUCUAACUCAGUGAGGGAAGUUUAUGUUAAAUGAUAGGAUGCUAAAAAAAUUUAUACUAGGAAGUUUAAUAGAUCUUUUCUAUGUAGUGAUAAUGUAAAAAAUAAAUAUCUCCUCAAACAAAAUACUUCCUCCAACUUAUCAAGAAUUGUAAAAUCCAUACCCAUCUCCACAAAAUUUUAAAUGAAAUUGAAAAGUUGGUGAGUGCAACAUAUAAGGAUGAAACAUGUUUCAUUUCCUUUGAAGACAUUAUUGACAAAGUGGUAAAACUUCAUCUAGUGCUAAAGUGAUUUUAGUUAUUGAUUUUGAAUGUCUACUUUAAUACCUUUAAUUAGAAUUUGAAUAAUAUAUGGGGUUGUUACAACAAACUUUAUUUUGCAUAGACAAUGGUAAAUCGAGCUCACUUAAAAGUAAAGGAGUUAGAAUCAAAUUAAGAGUUUUACAUAAAAGUGUUAGCUUUUAUAAAAGAUAUUAAGUUAUACAGUUAAAAUAAAGGUUUAAAAGAAAGGAUUAACAUCCAUUUAUCAAAGGUUGUAAUUACUUAUUUACUUUUCUAAGUUAGAGUCAAAAACAUUAAAUACCAUAGUGGGAUUAUUAAAUCAAUUAAAGUUGUAAAAAAGGUUUAGCUCAUCUCUAAACCUUUUAAACUUUCACCUACAUUCCACAAUUAUGCUUAUGCUCAAGAGGCACUUCUCGAUCUCAAGAGAGGUGAUGGAGAGCAAAAUAACCAAAGACUUCCAUACAAGCUUUCAAAGUUUAUACUUUGGAAGUAGCAAAUGAUUUAAAUGUUUUCUUCUCUAAUACUUUACUUCUUAUAUCACAGUAGUUAAAUAAAUGAUAAUGGUAAAAAUGUAUGUCACUAUUCAUAGUAAAUUCCUUUUUGACUUCUUCUUUCAUUUAUCAUUUUGAGAUAACACUUUAAGAUUGUUUGUGCAACUGAAAUGAAUCUUAGCUUUAUUUAUGGAUGUAAGGAUAAUUUUUGCUAUGGUAAUGAUUUUCGUAACUAGUGUGACAAGAUUGCAACUAAGGGUAGAUAUGAGUGUGGCAAAGGUUGGUGGGGUAGGAUUAUAGCUCAAGGUGGUGCGGAAGGGCAUGAAGUUGACCACCAUCAUAAUUUUUUUAUGUUCAAGGAUAGAUUUUUCAAUUUUGGAAUUCCAAAUAUAUAAUAGAGAUAUAUCAUAUAUCAUUUACACAAACUGGCAUUCAAUUUUGGAAUUCCAAAUAUAUAAUAGAGAUAUAUUAUAUAUCAUUUACACAAACUGGGGAAUGCCAUGUUGAGUGAAGUCAAAAAAUAACUCAAUACCAUGCCUUAAAGCCUUUUGCUUUCUCAUGACUCUACCGUUCAAAUAUACAAGAAAAACUACCAAUUACACAUUAUGUUAUUGUAAAAGAAACAAAAGGGAAUUUUUGUGUAUUAUGAAAUUUUCAAGUCAUUUUCAAAUUCGAUUAAAGACAUUAAUGCAGUUCAAAAAAAUUUCAAUCCAUUUUUUUUUCUUUCCAAUUAUUUAUUUCUCUCCUCAAAUGAUUCGUAGAUGAUAGAAAUAGAGUUUUAAUCAAGCUAAAAAUAUAAGAUUUCUCUGAAGUUCUUUAAUUUUAUUUUUGAUUUAUAAAUCUACUCCACAUGGUAUUCUUUGAGGAAUGUACAAAACAUUGUCAAACAUUAUGAAAAUCUAAAGGUUAUGCUUUCAAAUAAUUUUUUUUCCAACUAUUAUUUUUAUCAUGCUAAUGGUAUUUUUCAAGAAAUGGGUGAUCUUGCAAAUCUUACACUAUUUUAAUUGUUGCAUAAUACAAUUUGCAUUAAUUUUAGAUUGAAAAUUUAUGAUCAAAUAUUCUUCUCUCAAAAUCUUUCAAGGAUGGAGCUAACAUUCAUGGAUACUAUGAAUGGCUUUCAAGGCAUGAUUUAGUCUCAUUUACAUUGACUUAAAAUUAAUAAAAAUGGGAUUAAGAUAAGCUAUUAAAAGUAAAUUAAAAGAGAUUAUUGUUUUUAUGAUUGCUAAGAUAUAAUCAUUACUUUAUUUGUAUCAUAAAUAAAACAACUAGCAUACAUGUGAAAUAUACUUUGCAAGGUGGUUAGUUUUACAUAUGUCUUACAUAUAUAUAUAUAUAUAUAUAUAUAUAUAUAUAUAUGUGUGUGUGUGUGUGUGUGUGAGGGCCAAGUGUACGGCUACGAUGCCGUAUACUAAUAUUAGCGUAGUGGAUUUUGGUAGCCGUCGGAUUGGUUUCAAUCCGGACCACUCGCUCCUGUAUAUAAGCUAGGGUUUUUGAAUUAAUUGAUAUGCACAUUUCUGUAUUCCCUUUCCAUAUUCCAUGCAUUCACAUUGGUGGAGAUGAGGGGCACCUUUGAUUGUCCCUGGGGAGUGCUUGGAUUUGGGAUUUCGGUUUAGAUCUAGCUUUUGCAUUGUCUAGAUCUAGCUUUUUCCAUUUCCUUUCUUUUGUUCUUUCCUUUCAGGAUUUUGGUUUAGAUCUAGCUUUUUGCAUUGUCUAGAUCUACCAUUUCUUUCUAGCUUUUUGUCAUUUCUCUUCUUUUGCUCUUUCUUUCUCAUUCAUUUUCAUGGCCGAUCCGCAAUCUCCUCCUUUGACUCUAGAGCAGCAGUUGGUUCAAUUGCUUGAUGCUAUGCACCUGCAAUUGAACAACCAAACUCAGUUGAUGGCGGCGUUCACGGCACAUGGUACAACUCCUCCUGAUUUUGGUGCCAAUCCUCGCGUUCGGCCGGAGUUCUUUCGUGGGAAUCCUGGGGAUGAUGUGUACCAUUGGUUCGAUCACUUUACGGUGAUUGCCACAUAUCAUUCUUGGGAUGAUGCUCGGCGUUUGCAUGAGUUCCCCACAUGUCUUCAAGGGACGGCAUUGCAGUGGUACAAUGGAUUGAGCGCAGCUACUCGUGGCGAUUGGAGUGUUCUUCCGGACGUCUUCAAACGCGCCUUCGGACACGCCGACGAUUGUGAUGAUGCAUUCCAACAAUUGCAUCGUCUUCGCCAAGGGCCAUCUGAGUCGGUGAUGCAAUUUGGCAUUCGUUUCUGAAGUCUUUUGCUUCGUGCGGAGCCAAAUAUGUCGGAGCGGAUCAAGCUAGGAAUGCUGUGGCCAGCACUUCGUCAAGAUCUUGUCGGACUUGUGCAUGCACUUGCUCCUGCCACUCUUGACGAUGCUCUUUGCUUGGCACAACGUUAUGAGACGUCGCCUCUUCCACUUCUUGCUACACGUCCUUCAGCUCCAGUUCCUAUGAGUGAUGGUCCUGUUCCCAUGGAGGUUGAUGCUGCUGCUACUCGAGUCCAAGGACAAGGGCGAGGACGUGGUCGUGGCCGUGACAUUCGUUGCUGGGCGUGUGAUGAAGUUGGUCAUACUUAUCGGCGUUGUCGGCGCUUUCCGGAUUGGCGACCUCCAUUUCCUGGGUGGAGACCUUGGCGUCAGCAACGUCCCGUUGGUGCUGCUGCGGUGGAAGGUUUGGAUACCGAGGUGCAUUUGGGAAACGAGGAGUCGCGCGAGUAAUGGAGGGACCUUGCGCGAAUAAGUUAGUGACCCCUCCAUCUUUCUUUCGGGAGUAUCAUCAAGGGGUUCACUCGGCACCGGUUCAUCCAGUGUUUACUUUCCAAGCUCGUUUUUAUAACAAGAGGUCUCCUAUUCUUCUCUCCGUGUUGGUUGAUACAGGUUCGAGUUUAUCUUCUAUUGCUCGACCUGUUGCCACACGUUGUCGUCUACACUUGCGUCGUGCGGCGGAUCCAGUUUUCAUUCUUUAUGGCAACGGCCGUACACAUGCAUGUGCACAAGAUGAGGCGGACCUGGUUGUGCGUGUGGGUGAUCUCGAGCUUGAGUUGCAGUCGUUGCGGGUGGUGCCGAGUCAAGCUUUUGACCUCAUUCUUGGUAUGGAUUGGUUGCAGCACAAUCAUGCCAAGUGUGACUUUGAGGCUUUUCCCCCUUGUCUCAUACUUCCUUAUGUUUCAUCCAUUCCUCUCACUUCUGUACCUCUUCGUCCCUCUACUUCUACCUCUGCUUCCAUUACUUUUGUUCCCCCAUUAUUUCCUCUUGUGUUUCCAUCUUGUUCUGCUCUUCCCUUUUCCGAUCCCUCCGAUGAUCUUUGUGUUGCAGCUGUUGACCAGCUCAUGAAGGAGUAUUCUGAUCUCUUUGAAUUUGACCUAUCGUCUGGGGCCAAGAUUGCCACACGUUAUCCCAUUCCAACCGGGGAUGCUCGUCCAAUCAAGGUUCCUAUUCGUCGUCGGUCACCCAAGGAGAUCAAGAUUUUACGUGCAAACGUCAAGGAGAUGUUGGAGAAGGGUGUUAUUCGGAAGUCGCGGAGUCCUUGGGCAUGUGAACCUCAUCUUGUGACGAAGCUUGAUGGGAGUAUUCGUUUCUGCAUCGACUAUCGUCCGUUAAAUGAAGUGACGAUCCCGGACGUGUACCCUCUUCCUCACACUGCUGAUCUCUUGGAUCGUCUGGGGCGAAGUCGUUGGUUCACCAAGCUAGAUCUUGCUUCUGGGUAUUGGCAAGUACCGAUGGCUGAAGACGAUAUUCCUAAGACUGCUUUUCGUACACCAUUUGGUUUGUACGAGUUUUUGGUGAUGCCGUUUGGUUUGAACAAUGCUCCAGCAACUUUUCAGCGAAUGAUGGACGAGGUUCUUUGCGAUAUGCCGGAGGUGACGGCUGACUUCAUUGAUGAUGUCUUGAUCCACUCGGAGGGGACAUGGGAGGAGCAUGUUCGUGAUGUUUGUAAAGUGUUGGAUCGGCUACGCGACGUUGGUUUAAAGCUGAAGCGGUCGAAGUGCGUGUUUGGGUGCAAGGACACAACUUAUCUUGGGUACCGUAUUUCUCGUGAGGGUUUGCAAGUUGAUCCUGACAAACUUGUGGCUGUUCUAAAGUUCCCUACUCCGAAGUGUGUGAAUGAUGUGCAACGCUUUUUGGGUAAGGUGCAGUAUCUCGGUCGUUUUGUGGAUCAUCUUUCCGAUUGCACUUUACCAUUGCGAGCGUUGCUGAAGUCAUCAACGUCAUCUUUCAUCUGGUCUCCCGAUUGUGAGCGGGCGUUCGUGAAUCUCAAAGAGCUAUUGACGACUCUUCCGGUUUUGGCAUAUCCUGACUACACUCGACCUUUUAUUUUGCGCGUGGAUGCUUCUGACAUUGGUCUUGGAGGUGUGUUGAUGCAAGAGAGCUCGAGUGUGCCUGGUCAGCGCCAUCCUAUUGCAUAUAUAAGCCGUACAUUACAACCAGCGGAGAUGAACUACUCCACGACGGAGAAGGAGUGUUUAGCAGCAGUCUGGGGUUUCGAGAAACUUCAUGCCUAUCUACAUGGUUCUCGGACGUUACUUGAAGGUGACCAUGCUGCUGUUACUUCAUUAUUGAAGCGGAAGAACCUGGUUGGUCGUACGGCUCGAUGGGCUUUGAAGCUUCAGAUAUAUGAUUUCGAUGUUGUUCAUCGCCCAGGGAGUUCUAUGGCUGAUGCUGAUGCCCUUUCUCGAGCUCCUCUUCCUUCUCCACUCACUUCUCAUGUUUCUGACGAACCUGUUGUUCCAGCAUCUGUGGAUUUUCUAGAUGAGGAUUCUGUGCCGUCGGCGGUUGCUGUCCUUGACGUUCAGUGUCCACAGGGCGUAGAGCAAGAUCUACCUUCUCUGGAUGAGGUUCGCGAGGCUCAAAAGAUUGAGCCGUGGAUUCGAAGGCUUCGAGAUGGGUUUGAGAAUCCUGCAUCACUUGCUGAUGACUUGCCUUUUCGGCAUUUACAUUCUCAAUAUCGCCUUGAAGAUGGCCUUCUUUAUUUUGUGGGGACGGAUCCUGAUGCUCAUUUACGGCUGGUGGUGCCUUCGGUUUAUUCCGCGGUUUUUCCAUGCCUACCAUGAUUCUCCUAUUCUAGGUGGGCAUAUGGGACACCGUCGUGUCACCGAGAAGUUGCGCAGAUCUUUCUAUUGGCCAGAGAUGCAACGUGAUAUUAUCCGGUAUGUGCGUAGCUGCGUUUGGUGCCAAGCUCGUAAUACUCCCCCUUGUGCUGCGGAAGGACGGUUGGAGUCAAUUGCAGUUUCUCGUCCGUUUGAGUUGGUGGCGUUUGAUCUUAUGGGACCUUUUCCGCGAUCGACUACUGGCAAUGAGUAUGUUAUUAUUGCUUCUGACUACUUGACUCGUUGGGUGGAAGUUGGUGCUCUUGCCAGUGCCUCUGCAACUGCUGUUGGAUACUUCCUCCUCAAUCGAGUGGUGUUCCAGCAUUCUUGUCCAGAACGGAUUCUUUCGGAUAAUGGUCCUGCAUUUAUGGCUGAGGUAUUUCAUGUUUUGACAUCUCGGUUGGGGAUACGCCACACUUUUAUGAGUGCUUAUCAUCCACAAUCAGACGGUCUGGUGGAACGGCUCGUUCGGACAUUCAAAGGGAUGAUUGCGAAGUAUGUGAACUUUCAACAUUCGGAUUGGGAUGGUUAUUUGCCGUCUCUUCGGUAUGCUUAUGUCACAGGGGUGCAGAGUUCUGUUGGUUCUUCACCAUAUAAACUUCUAUAUGGUCAUGAUCCAAUAUUACCAACAGAGCUAGGUUUACCUUCGCGAUUGCCACGAGCUCUUAAUGCUAGGUCAUGGGAUCAAUAUUUGACAAGCAUUCUUCCACUUGUCCGAGCAGAGUCUGCUGAACACUUAGGCCGCGUACAAGUGGGACAACAACGGCGCUACAAUUCCCAUCAUCGUCCACCAGCGGAGUACAAAGUGGAUGAUUUGGUGUUAGUCCGUUUUCCCCAUCUUACGGUACGUGGUUUAUCUAAGGGGCUCCUUGCGUAGUGGAAAGGACCGUAUCGGGUGUUGCGGCAAGUUGGACCACAAGUUUAUGAGGUUCGGCAUGACGUUCAGCAGGCUGAUCCUCCGGAGAUUGUGCAUGUGCAACGGUUAAAACGCUUCAUACAGAGGGAUCAGGAGCAGUUAAUACCGUCUACAGAUCCACCGAUGCCUCCUCCUGACGUUCCUCCAGAUCCCGGCCCAUCUACAAGAGAACCCUGACGGCCUUCCAUUAUUCCGAGAGGAGGGGAUGAUGUGAGGGCCAAGUGUACGGCUACGAUGCCGUAUACUAAUAUUAGCAUAGUGGAUUUUGGUAGCCGUCGGAUUGGUUUCAAUCCGGACCACUCGCUCCUAUAUAUAAGCUAGGGUUUUUGGGUUAAUUGAUAUGCACAUUUCUGUAUUCCCUUUCCAUAUUCCAUGCACUCACAUUGUAUGUAUAUCUAUUUUAAUAAUAAUCAAAUCAAAUAAAAAACAUUUAAGACAAAGUUACAGUUAGAGAUUUCCACUCCUCUAGCAUAUUUCAACGCUACCAUCGUUAAACUUUCGAGUGGCCUCAAGCGCACACCUUCUCUGGUUCAUGAGCUGGGUCUUCAUUUUACUCGCCAUGCAGUUCUGAUGCUUUUGCUGUUUUGCAGUCCCCUUGGAAACCACGGCGUUGCUUGGAGCAAAGUUGAACACUUGGUGCAGGAGAUCGUUUUCCUGCAAGUGCCUCUGAAAGCCUUCGCCCAGGAGCCUUCGGAAGGCAUUGAGCUGCACGGUUUGGCUCCACGUACCGAUCUUGAGCGAGUCACCAUGCUUGAGCUUGACACAAAGUCUCAUGACACGCACCACCUUGGAGAGUCGCCACCAUGUCCCUGAAGCUGCUCCUCUGCUCGGAUCUUUCUUUCUUCGUCUGGCCCUUCCGGCUGGAAGAGGCAGCCAGCGCUUUCAUCUGAUCCACCACCUGCAGCUCCAUUGCCGUUGCUCCACCUUCGCCAAGAGCUUGCUCCUCCAACAGGUGGAUGCUGCCAACUUCGAAGAGAAGAGCAAUGGCUUCCCCGGCAGCCUUGCAAACACCUACAUCUGGAUCCUCGAGCAAACAGGACAGAGCUCCCAACACACUAGGGAGCUGGAGGGCCAUGACUCUCUUGGAACUCAACGUAGAAAGCAGCAAACUCCAGGCCGUGAUGGCGGCCGCCUUGACUGGAGGUGUGGGUUUGCUCGUACCAAGAGUUUGAUCUGCGUGAGCACUGCCUUUGUGGAUGACAAUCUGCCACAGGACCUCCAUCGCGCUUGCCUCCUCCAAGUCCACGCCACCAACGAAAGCCAACAUCCCGAGAGCCUCAAUCGCUGAAACCCUCGCGGCAGAAUCGCGUCCGAGCUUGGAAAUCUUGGAGAGAUGAGGGAAGCUAGCCUCGAAUACGUGCUCGGCCACUUUCCCUGCCCCCGCGGUGAUGGAAACCAUGGCCAGAGCACGCCCCGCAAGAGCAGCCUCUGUCGAAGAACUCUGCUUGAUUGACGACAGGAUUUGAUGAGUCAACGUUUCAUACUUGUCGUCGACGAAGUGGGUCAUCACCCUCGCCACGAAAGCGUCGAUCAUGCCCUUCAAGCCGGCCUCUCGGGUGCUGGAUCGCUUCUCGUACAAACAAUCCAAGCUUGCCUCCAAGUCCAAGAGUGUGGACGAAGAGUCGUCGUCCAUAUGCUCCGUGUCACACUCGUGGUGUUGUUUGAGUUUGUUCUCCUUGUCUUCGGCAUGCCUCUUGCACUUCUUGGACAAUCUCUUUGACGAUCGCACCUUAACGCACUCCAUCGCCCGUUUGCUGACUGGGAGAAUGAGAAAGCCCUAGUUCUUUGCGAUCUUUUAUACUCGCAGAGGGCGAGGCUUAAUAUUACUUUUGAACUUCACCUGGAGAAAGAUAGCAAAGAUGAGAAAAAACGAAAGAGUUGCUGAUCACACGUUAAACAAGGGCAAUCUUGCUAGACAAGGGGAAAACUAGGUUAACCAUCUGGCCAUGAAUAUUCCUUACUUUAUUCUAUCUAUAAAGAGGAAUCGAACCCGAGAGCUGUGGUUUGGGAAACCAAAUCCUCAACCGAUUGGUCUAAGCUUUUUUAGUGAGCUAGCAAACCAGAACUAGGGCUACUUAUUGAGCAAAAAACUUUAGCAUAAAGUCCUUGUUGGUUGGACUCUUCGGCAUCGAACCCGGGUCUUCUACAACGGUUUAGAUAGCCUUGAUCUCAGCAACCGGGCUCCGAUAAUAAAAUAACGUACCAUGUACUUAAACCAUAUUGGCAGGGUGUGUUUACGUUUUGGUCGAUUGCCUCAUUACUCUCAAAAGCUUACCACUAUGUUCACGCGGUCAAUCAUGUGACAUUUACGUUCCUUUAUCACAUCUUCUUGCAUCUUCUCUUGGUGGAGGCAAAGCAAGACGAACUUGCCAAAAAUCGGUCCAAUCGACAAUGAAUGUCUCGAAAUCUAGUGAUCUUUUGGAUCGUUUUGAUACAAAAUAGAAGCAAGAUCUUGGUUACCACCCGAAAGCUUAAAGGUGCAAUUAAAACCAAGAUGGGGGCUUUUUUGGGAGAGGACGACAUCUUGAAAUUGUUCACAGUCCACGCCUGCCUGCCAUUCUUCUGCCAAUCACCUUCAAGACCCCCACACUUGUGCACAACUUUCUCGCUUGCUCACUUUAAUUCUGAGCAUGUUUUUGGUUUGGGAAGUCAAGAUUGGGGGCUCUGUUUUGCUCUUAUGUCGCUGCCAUACAGAGCUGAAAGAAGAGGCGGGAAAACCUGGUGAAACUCAAGGAGAUGAAACGCGCUGAGAAGAUGAAAGACAGGUAUAACACGCAGUCACUACAAAGUCUGCUCGUUUUCCUCUCACUUGCGCUGCAGAAUGAGGAGCAGAAAGUUUCUCCCCUGGAGGGUACGAAGCUAGAGAGAAGUUGUAAACAUGCUAACGAGGCACUCAAUGUUCAGCGCUCAAGAAAGGCCAAGCUGAAAAGUAAACCGCUUGAAGAGGUCGAGUAGAAUUCUCGACAUUUUUUCAGCUUGAGAUCUUUGUAGUAUACACAAGUCGUUUUAGUUCUCUCUCUUAAGUGAUCUUAAGUUUGAUACAUUUGAAUAGUAGAGAUUUCCACUCCUCUAGCAUAUUUCAACGCUACCAUCGUUAAACUUUCGAGUGGCCUCAAGCGCACACCUUCUCUGGUUCAUGAGCUGGGUCUUCAUUUUACUCGCCAUGCAGUUCUGAUGCUUUUGCUGUUUUGCAGUCCCCUUGGAAACCACGGCGUUGCUUGGAGCAAAGUUGAACACUUGGUGCAGGAGAUCGUUUUCCUGCAAGUGCCUCUGAAAGCCUUCGCCCAGGAGCCUUCGGAAGGCAUUGAGCUGCACGGUUUGGCUCCACGUACUGAUCUUGAGCGAGUCACCGUGCUUGAGCUUGACACAAGUCUCAUGACACGCACCACCUUGGAGAGUCGCCACCAUGUCCCUGAAGCUGCUCCUCUGCUCGGAUCUUUCUUUCUUCGUCUGGCCCUUCCGGCUGGAAGAGGCAGCCAGCGCUUUCAUCUGAUCCACCACCUGCAGCUCCAUUGCCGUUGCUUCACCUUCGCCAAGAGCUUGCUCCUCCAACAGGUGGAUGCCGCCAACUUCGCAGAGAAGAGCAAUGGCUUCCCCGGCAGCCUUGCAAACACCUACAUCUGGAUCCUCGAGCAAACAGGACAGAGCUCCCAACACACUAGGGAGCUGGAGGGCCAUGACUCUCUUGGAACUCAACGUAGAAAGCAGCAAACUCCAGGCCGUGAUGGCGGCCGCCUUGACUGGAGGUGUGGGUUUGCUCGUACCAAGGGUUUGAUCUGCGUGAGCACUGCCUUUGUGGAUGACAAUCUGCCACAGGACCUCCAUCGCGCUUGCCUCCUCCAAGUCCACGCCACCAACGAAAGCCAACAUCCCGAGAGCCUCAAUCGCUGAAACCCUCGCGGCAGAAUUGCGUCCGAGCUUGGAAAUCUUGGAGAGAUGAGGGAAGCUAGCCUCGAAUACGUGCUCGGCCACUUUCCCUGCUCCCGCGGUGAUGGAAACCAUGGCCAGAGCACGCCCCGCAAGAGCAGCCUCUGUCGAAGAACUCCGCUUGAUUGACGACAGGAUUUGAUGAGUCAACGUUUCAUACUUGUCCUCCACGAAGUGGGUCAUCACCCUUGCCACCAAAGCGUCGAUCAUGCCCUUCAAGCCGGCCUCUCGGGUGCUGGAUCGCUUCUCGUACAAACAAUCCAAGAUUGCCUCCAAGUCCAAGAGUGUGGACGAAGAGUCGUCGUCCAUAUGCUCCGUGUCACACUCGUGGUGUUGUUUGAGUUUGUUUUCCUUGUCUUCGGCAUGCCUCUUGCACUUCUUGGACAAUCUCUUUGACGAUCGCACCUUAACGCACUCCAUCGCCCGUUUGCUGACUGGAAGAAUGAGAAAGCCCUAGUUCUUUGCGAUCUUUUAUACUCGCGGAGGGCAAGGCUUAAUAAAAAUGUAAUUUACUUUUGAACUUCACCUGGAGAAAGAUAGCGAAGGUGAGAAGUAAAAACUCUGCUAGGAUGUCUUUGGAAAAUACAUGACGUUUUGGUACCAUCCCCCGCAUUCUCGGCGCUUCGUCCUUGGAAGAACCCAUUUGGUCGAUAGAUUGCGCUUGAUCGUUGUGUUGAGCUGAGAGAAAGAGGAGAGAGGCGUCACCAAAGUUCUCCAUUGUCAUUUCAUAAACUUGGUGUAACUUACCUGUUGACGAAUUGGAAGUGAUCAUCAGGCAACCGAUCCUUGGUAACUCUGAAAAGCUUACCACUACCAACGUUUCUGGGCCUCCUGUUGUAUCUAAACUAAUAGGCACGAGCUGUUACAACGAGUCAAACGAAUGUCAAGAAAGACAAACCUGGACGAGCUCUCAUUCGAUUCCCCUUCGACAGGACCAGCCACUGCCAGCUUUUUUGGCACUUGGCAUCUACUAGCUCAUCGGAGAACUUCACAAACCGUCGCUUGUUUUCUCCUUGGUUGUCAAACUGCAUCAGCUUCUUGGCUUAGCGUGACGAGGCAUUGCUUGCGAGGUCAUACUCCAGCCUACACAACGGCAGCUCGCUCAACACAAAACCUCUUUGAAAUGUAAGUGACAAAGCCACCCUCGGAGUGCCAGGCAGAUGUAAAGCUUCAAGUAGCAUAGCCCAUGCCUAGCAUAAACUGAGCAAGGUCGUCAUGGUGCUCUCGUCCAAGCCUGAAAGCCCUGCAAAACAAGGACUACUAGUAAAGCAAGUACUACCAAUCAGUAAAGCAUACCAUUUCACAGCGCUAGCAGCGUAACGCCUCCGUGAGCAGCAAGACAUCGGUGGAUAAACCAUGAACCUGUCAUAUACAAAGUGCACGUCCACAAAUGAUCAUGCUCUGUUAAAAUGAAUGCAAUCCAGUUACCUGUCAACAAUCCAAAGGACGCCGUCUCAGACUCCAGGACGCUUGUGCCCCAUAGGUAAUCUGGAUACUGCUACAGCAACGCCGCCUCCCCCAUCGCAACGCCACGCCUGCAACCUUCUGGUGUCUUCCACAUCCAUUUGGCUGGCGGAGGCCGUGCAGUUGAAGGAGCAGUGUGGAAUGGAGCGAGCCGGACAACCUGUGACCAAAACAAAUUUACCAAACUUCUCAGCGUAUAACCAACGUACCUCUAACGUCUAACGUGGUCGAAGUGUCCACAGUCAACAAAGCAAUCUGCCAACUCUCUAUUCUAUCUAUAGGCACAAUAGAAGAGUCGAACCCCAGACCAAAGGUCUGGGAGACCAGGGUCCUAAGCGACUGGUCUAAGCUUUUUUAGUGAGCUAGCAAACCAGAACUAGGGGUACUUAUUGACCAAAUUUUUUUUUCAUAAAGUCCUUGUUGGUUGGACUCUUCGGCAUCGAACCCGGGUCUUCUACAGCGGUUUACCUCUACACUUACCUGAUAGCCAUCAUCUCGGCAACCGGGCUCCGAUAAUAAAAUAACAAUACCAUGUAGUUAAACCAUAUGGCAGAUUGUCUUUGGAAAAUACAUGACGUUUUGGGCGAUCGCCCACCAUCCCCCCACCAUCCCCAGCAUUCUCAAUGCUCCAGGCCGGCGCUUCGUCCUUGGAAGAACCCAUUCGCGGAUUUUGGAGUUCGGAGGAGGACGGAAUCUAUCGAGAUUGGUCGAUCUUUGCGCUUGAUCGUUGUGUGUGAGCUGAAAAAAAGAGAAGAGAGGCAUCGCCCAAGGUCUCCAUUGUCACUUCAUACACUUGCCUAAACUUCCUUUGUUACGGUUUCUCCGCUUGAGGCCACCUCUGUAACUUACUUGUUGACGAACUGGUCAGGCAACCGAUCCUUCGUAACUCUGAAAAGCUCUUCUCCAGGUGGUCGAUCUUCACAAGCUUCCCACCGAUGUGAUCUGUGGCCUCUUCUUUCGUGGCAAGAAGGCUGCAAGCUCUGAGAGCCGCCAUGAAAACUCUCCCAUCUGGGGAGAUGUGGCUUUCCUCGUCGUCUUCUUGGAUCAUCCGGAAGAAGAGAUCCAUCGCCAGCUUUGCGUCGCCACACUCGACGUAGCCGAGCAGCAGGGAAGUCCACGAAACCACAUCUCGAGCGGCCAUCCUAUCGAAAACCAUCCGAGCGUCCCACACUUCGUAUAGAUGUCCGCGAGAGCGUUGGUGAUGAAAGCGUUGGAGUAGCAGCAGCGAAGCGUGGACACUGCCCGAGAGUGGAUCUCCAUCGCCGUGCUAAGCGCCCGGACCUUGACGAGCUUAUUCCUUCCGGAGCUUCCCUCGCUGCCAAGCUCGAGCAGGCCCUGAGAGCCGCCACGAAAGCUCUCGAGUCCGGCGAUGGUGUUGCGGAGCUCUCAUCCUCCUCACUUCCAUCGUUUCUUCUCAGCCGGUGGAAGAGCUCCAGCGCGAUCUCUCCCCGCCCAGCCUCGGCGUAGCCCAGCAUGAGAUUGACGAAGGAGGCGGCGUCGCGCCGGGGCAUGGCGUCGAAAACCCUGUGAGCGUCGACGAGGCUGCCGCAUUUGGCAUACAUGUAGAUGAGAGCUCCGCCCACGCGAGUGGUGGAGCUGAAGAGCGCGCUGGCGAUGGCGUCGCUGUGGAGCCUCUUGCCCCGCUCCAAAUCCCUCGACGCCGCGCAAGCCUUGAGCGCCGUGAGGAGCUCGCGAGCCGCGGGCUUGUAGCUGGCGAUGGCAUCGCUGUGGAAAUCUCUCGCGAGUGAGCGCUCGGCGCGAAGGAAUGCGGCAGAGAACUCACCUCCCAGUCGCUUGGCCCAAAAAA
rnacentral:lncRNA from 1 species